rfam:Tauraco erythrolophus contig2306, whole genome shotgun sequence.
CUGCACUGCUUGGUGACCGGCUGGUCUUUCCCUGACCUUCUUGGUCUCAUUCCAGUGCAAGAGAAAUUCCUUCUAGCAGAAGGGCCAGGCUCUCCUCGUGGUCUGUCCCUUUCGAAAGCUGGGUACAAAC